AAAAUAAAGGAAAGUUUAUCAGAUUGCCCAAGUUGGUUAGAGCAAGCAUCGGAAAAUUCUUACUUCCAUUGGAAAUAUUUAAGGAAGUUGAAGUAUUGAAAUUCCAUUGGGUGAAAUUCCAUUGGAUAUUUCAACCACACCUGGACUUGAAUUUUGACUUUCACAAUUUAGUUCAACUUCAAUUGAAGGUGGAACUGGAUUGGCUUCUGGUCUUGAAAGUGCUCGAUCAUUGUCCCAAGCUUCAAAGUCUUGUCAUUGACAUUUCUAAGAAAUAUGGUCGUUGUUAUGAAGAAGAUGUUUGGCCAUACCCACAAACUGUUCCUACAUGCAUUUCAUCACACCUUAAAACCUGCCGUCUAAUAUAUUACAGGGGUUCUAAAGAUGAGUUUCACUUUGCAAGAUAUAUAUUGGAGAAUGCAAAAUAUCUACGGACCAUGAAAUUCCACACUCUUGA